UGAGGGGAAAGUUUGAUAAUUUAAGUUUAUUAUUUAAAAUUUUGUAUGGUUUUCAAAAUGGAGAUAAUGUUAAAAAAUACACAAGAAAAAAAAAAUUGCAGGUGGUUUCGUUUAUUGGGAAAAAUUAAAUGCUUUCUUUAACAAGGAAGCUGUUCUUUUUCGACUUCCAUGAAGGAAAGGAACAGAUAUUGGAGAGAUAAAAAAAAAUAGGUGAUUGAAAAGGUAAAUGAGAGAAAGCGUCACCAAGAGGACAAACGUGAUGGGUCUUUUAAUUGAUGCGUGG
rnacentral:misc_RNA from 1 species